rnacentral:rRNA from 1 species
UGGGCGUAUAUUAAAGUUGUUGCAGUUAAAAAGCUCGUAGUUGAACUUUGGGUCUGGUUGGCCGGUCCGAUUUUAUGUCGCGCACUGGUUUUCAACCGGAUCUUUCCUUCUGGCUAACCUGUACUCCUUGUGGGUGCAGGCGAACCAGGACUUUUACUUUGAAAAAAUUAGAGUGUUCAAAGCAGGCGAAAGCUCGAAUAUAUUAGCAUGGAAUAAUGGAAUAGGACGUUUGGUUCUAUUUUGUUGGUUUCUAGGACCAUCGUAAUGAUUAAUAGGGACGGUCGGGGGCAUCAGUAUUCAAUUGUCAGAGGUGAAAUUCUUGGAUUUAUUGAAGACUAACUACUGCGAAAGCAUUUGCCAAGGACGUUUUCAUUAAUCAAGAACGAAAGUUAGGGGAUCGAAGAUGAUCAGAUACCGUCGUAGUCUUAACCAUAAACUAUGCCGACUAGGGAUCGGAAAA